rnacentral:misc_RNA from 1 species
AGCCAGUCCUUCAAGGUUACCUUCAGACUGAGCUCGACGAAGACCUUUAAGGGAAUAGUCAGAGAAUUCAGCAAUAGAAGGAGAGAUGGGAGAAGAGUUGCAGGAGACAGUGUUGAGAUGGAGACAGCCAUUUUGGUGAUAAGGAGACCUACUGCUACUGAAGGUUUGGUGGUGAAUGGAGUAGUGCUUUUUGGUAUCAAGACUGUUAGGAGUGUCUGAGAAAGAUGAGAGA